rnacentral:rRNA from 1 species
GUCCACGCUGUAAACGAUGGGUGCUAGGUGUCGUGGGUAUUGACCCCUGCGGUGCCGAAGUUAACGCAUUAAGCACCCCGCCUGGGGAGUACGGCCGCAAGGCUAAAACUCAAAGGAAUUGACUGGGGCCCCGCACAAGCGGUGGAGUAUGUGGUUUAAUUCGACGCAACGCGAAGAACCUUACCUGGGUUAAAUCCUUCGGAACGCCCUAGAGAUAGGGAAGUGCCCGCAAGGGAGCCGGAUGGAAGGUGCUGCAUGGCUGUCGU